GACUGGCGGCGGCUAAUACUGCAAGUCGAGGGGCAGCACAGGUAGCAAUACCGGGUGGCGACCGGCAAACGGGUGCGGAACACGUACGCAACCUUCCUUCAAGCGGGGAAUAGCCCAGAGAAAUUUGGAUUAAUACCCCAUAAGAAUGUGGAUUGGCAUCAAUCAGCAUUUAAAGAUUUAUCACUUGAAGAUGGGCGUGCGUCUGAUUAGGUAGUUGGUGAGGUAACGGCUCACCAAGCCGACGAUCAGUAACUGGCGUGAGAGCGCGACCAGUCACACGGGCACUGAGACACGGGCCCGACUCCUACGGGAGGCAGCAGUAAGGAAUAUUGGUCAAUGGACGAAAGUCUGAACCAGCCAUGCCGCGUGGAGGAUGAAGGCCCUCUGGGUUGUAAACUUCUUUUAUUUGGGACGAAACACUUCUUUUCUAAGGAGCUUGACGGUACCAGAUGAAUAAGCACCGGCUAACUCCGUGCCAGCAGCCGCGGUAAUACGGAGGGUGCAAGCGUUAUCCGGAUUCACUGGGUUUAAAGGGUGCGUAGGCGGACAUGUAAGUCCGUGGUGAAAUCUCCGAGCUUAACUCGGAAACUGCCAUGGAUACUAUAUGUCUUGAAUGUUGUGGAGGUUAGCGGAAUAUGUCAUGUAGCGGUGAAAUGCGUAAA
rnacentral:rRNA from 1 species